UACGGAGGGGGCUAGCGUUGUUCGGAAUUACUGGGCGUAAAGCGCGCGUAGGCGGCUUUGUAAGUCAGAGGUGAAAGCCUGGAGCUCAACUCCAGAACUGCCUUUGAAACUACAUCGCUAGAAUCAUGGAGAGGUUAGUGGAAUUCCGAGUGUAGAGGUGAAAUUCGUAGAUAUUCGGAAGAACACCAGUGGCGAAGGCGACUAACUGGACAUGUAUUGACGCUGAGGUGGCGAAAAGCGUGGGGAGCAAACAGG
rnacentral:rRNA from 1 species